rnacentral:lncRNA from 1 species
AAUUUUCUCUUAGUUCAUUAAGCCGAAGUAGAUGUAUGUUGAUUGAUUGAUUGUUGGAGAGACAAAGUUACCAUUCCAGGGAGAUGGGAAAGCAUAAAGGCAACUCUUGCAGCGCUUAAUUUUGUGAUUGGUGAUCUGCUUGGUCCUGGACCACAUGUUUUAGCUGCGUUCUCCGCGCUGCCCUACCCGGUCCUCCACGGGGAUAGCUGCGCUCUGUUUGGGGAUGAAUCCAUCGUCCUUUUAAACGUAGGCUCACAACAUCCCUGUGCGGCAUGUUACCAACGGGCAGCUCCUUUCCAAGUAAGGCUUCCCGCAAUCGCAUUUCCCGCAAAGGUAUUCAGUAGAUGAACCAAGCCGUUGUCUCCUAUACUUGCAAGGUUUGAUUUCAGUUAUACAUACUAG